rnacentral:lncRNA from 1 species
CCACACAUUAGCAUCUCCUUAUAUAGAGCUUUAACAAAAAACCCUAAUACAAAUAACCUAAACCAUAACUCGGUUUAUACCCUAAACCAUAACUCGGUUUAAACGGGCUUUACUUGGGCCUCAAGCCUUCUUCUUCAAGCUUACUCCAACAUUCUCCCCCUUAAGCUUGAACUUGUCUUCUCUCACAUCUUGAACUCCAAUAAAUCUUCUCAUUUCAAUAAACUUGAUUCUUC